GAUGGACGCUGGCGGCGUGCCUAAUACAUGCAAGUCGAGCGAACGGACGAGAAGCUUGCUUCUCUGAUGUUAGCGGCGGACGGGUGAGUAACACGUGGAUAACCUACCUAUAAGACUGGGAUAACUUCGGGAAACCGGAGCUAAUACCGGAUAAUAUUUUGAACCACAUGGUUCAAAAGUGAAAGACGGUCUUGCUGUCACUUAUAGAUGGAUCCGCGCUGCAUUAGCUAGUUGGUAAGGUAACGGCUUACCAAGGCAACGAUGCAUAGCCGACCUGAGAGGGUGAUCGGCCACACUGGAACUGAGACACGGUCCAGACUCCUACGGGAGGCAGCAGUAGGGAAUCUUCCGCAAUGGGCGAAAGCCUGACGGAGCAACGCCGCGUGAGUGAUGAAGGUCUUCGGAUCGUAAAACUCUGUUAUUAGGGAAGAACAUAUGUGUAAGUAACUGUGCACAUCUUGACGGUACCUAAUCAGAAAGCCACGGCUAACUACGUG
rnacentral:rRNA from 1 species